UAACAUUAAUUAUGAAAAUGAACAAAGGUUUUAAGAUAAUUCAUAUUUGAACCAAAUUAGCCAAAUUCCUAGAAAUUCCUUCUUGCACAGCCUUUUUUAUUUGAAUCAUCAAGCGUAAUCACAGACUUAGUAUACAGGUUUCUUCACCUAUGAUCAGAUUUUAAAAAAUAACAAAAAUGUUGAAAUUGUCAACAAAAAAAGUGGGGUCAUGCAUUUAGUAGAUGUAUUUGUUUCAAAGAUGGCAGUGAAAAUCAUACAUCUAUGUCAUUAAUCUUGCCACCGCAUGUCUUUUAGAAGAAUUCUAAGAAGAUUCAGUCAAAUAAAACACAGUUGCUCAUCAGACCAAUCAUUAGCUCUUAAAUACUAUGAAGAAAUCUUAAGCACUAACCCACCAGUUACAACUAGGAAUAUCCGCCGAAACAAGAUGCAUGCUAGCCAUGGUAACAAAGACUCAAAAAUCAGCCAAUAACACAAGUUCAAAAAUUAAUUCAAUAUCAGUGAGUUAACCAAAAUCAAGGUGAUAGUGAGUUCAUGGCAUUUCCCAAAUCCUCCAACCCAAUAGAUAUAAAAUUUACCAAGUUCUGUACAAAUUUUGACAACAGAAAAUUUAUUAAUUUGAGUUGAUUUAUUCCUCCUUAGUGUCUUUUCAAUAAGCCUCUAGCAAUCAUUUCAUGAAGAUAUUUCAGCGCUUGUUCAUUUUCACCUUUUUCCAACAGAGCACGAAUAGUUAGUUCGUAAGUUACAGCAUCCGGAGAGCAACCAUUGUCUUCCAUUUCCAACUUUAAGGCCAAUGCUUCAUCAAAUAGGCUCUCUUUGCAGAGCCCCUUUAUCAUAACAUUGUAUAUCCUUGUGUUUAGGUGAUAGCCUUUAAUGGAAAGAUCUUGAAAAAUCUCUUUUGCAUUUUUAAGCCAUCCACUUUUGCAUAGGCCAUCUAUAAGUAUGGUGUAUGUAUAUAUAUUCGGAUCAAUGCCACUCUCUUUCAUUUGAUUGAAUAAUAUAAGUGCCUUGUCAUGUUGUUUGAUAUUGAACAAAGCAUCCAUCAAAGAACUGUAAGUGACUAUAUUAGCGGGUUGACCUCGAUAAUGCAUCUUUUCAAGAAGCUCCAAGGCACAAAGGAUUCUUCUUGAUUUUCCCAAGCCAUCAAUUAGAGUACUGUAAGUUACCGUGUCAGGAACCAAGUUCUUGCGACGCAUCUCUUCGAAGAGAUUCAAGGCGUCAUCGAUCAUUUUACUUUUGCAAAAGCCAUUAAUCAUGAUAUUGUAACUCCGAACAUUAGGAAACACUCUACUCUCGGCCAUUGUGUUGAAUACAUAUUUUGCCUUAUUUACCUGAUGAACCAAACAAUAUCCAUCCAUUAAGCUGUUAUAAGUAACCACAUCUAGUUUCACACCAUCUUUUGUCAUUACAGCCAACACACUCUUAGCAUCUUUGAUCUUUCCUUCCUUGCAUAGCCCAUCGAUCAAAAUACUAUAGGUACGAACAUUUGGAGAAAUGUUUCUAAGCACCAUAUCACUUAACAAAUCAAUGGCUUCCUUAUAUUGACCCUCAAGACACAAUCCAAAAAUGAGAGAACUGUAUGUGAUAACAUUAGGAGAAAUUCCCUUAUCAAGCAUUUCAGAGUAUAAAUGAAAAGCCUGACUUACAAGUGUAUCCUUGCAGAGGGUAUCAAUAAUUGCGCUGUACAUGAAGACAUUAGGAGCAAUGCCAUACCGUGGGAUCUUUCUCAACAUUUGAAUAGCAGCUGAUGUGUGUCCGGUCUUACAGAGCCCAUUAAUCAACGUCCCAUAAGUGACUUGAUUAAAGUGAAAUCCAUGAGCCAGCACUCUGUCAUGAAAGCGCACUGCUUUUUCAACACUACUACAGAGAUAGAGACCUUUCAGGAUUGUUGUCAAUGUCACCGUAUUAGGUUGAUAAUCCAUUCUGAAAAUCUUGGCCAAUACAGAGAAAGCAAGCGUCAUACGACCCAUGCCACAACAACAAUUGAUUACGAUGCUCAAAGUAAAUAAGUCGGGAGCGAUUCCUCUAGCUUGCAAUUGCUGAAAAAGGGAAAUGGCGGUGGAGAAAUGGUUGGUCUUGGCAAGAGAUCCCAAAAUCUUGGUGAAUUGGAUGAUGGAUGGAGGGCGACGCAUAGAGAGCAUGCGAGUGAAGGAAUGAACAGCUUCAUCAACUUGGCGAAGGGAUGGGGGCUCAGAAUGAGAGUGAAGGGAUGAAGAGGAAGGGAAGGAAACAAAAUUAGGGAUUUGGAGAAGAGAAUACCUAAAAAUGAAAGUGAUCCUUGAGGUUGAGGAUGACAACAUUUUAGUGAUUCGCACUUUCGCUGUUGUCUAAGUUUGAGAGAGUGCUCUCUGCUCUCUGCUCUCUGCCCUCUCUGCCCUCUGCUCCAAGACGUAGACGACUAGACGUUGCUAUCUCUGCGGAAAUAGUUCUCUCAAUUUUUAUCCGGUAUGUACGCGAUUUCAUACUCUUAAAACUUUGGAGUAUUAAAACCAAGGUUCUGAAAACCGAACCGGUCAUCGAACAAAUAUUUUUUUCCUUUUCUUUCUUGUUAUUUUUUUUUGUUAUAAAUCUAAUUCUAAUUCGAUAUUUAAAUUAAUGCAAUAUGAUAUGAUCGGUUCAGGUUUAGUCACAAAAAUAUAUUUAUCAGAUCCAUUUUAAAGCGAUCAAAUUUAAUCAGUUUAGUUUUCAAUUUUUUCCAAAUCCAACCCAAACUAAUCCGAUUACACCCUAACUUCAUGGAUUAAACAUUAGAAGCAACAAUUCUAGUUACAAAUCUGACGAUAAUGUAAUAUUAUUCUACUCUUUGAUUUGUGACUACUUACUUAAAAUUAUUUUUAAAUUUAGUUUUAACUAUAAAAAUCUAAAAUUAUAUUCAACUAAUAACUUAAAUUAAAUAUCUCCAAUAUAAUCUUUAAAAAAAAAUUAUACAGUACCUCAAUGCAUCUAAAUUUGUUUUCAAUAUCUUCUUUAAUUUCUUUUGAAGUAUCUUUUGAUAAAUUAAUUUAAAAUAAUACUUUAAAAUAAUAUUAAUUCUAUUCCUAAUAUAUAUUUAUAUAUAUAUCUUAAAUAAAUGGUAUGUUAUAAUAUAGUUAAUUUUUAAAAUCAUGAUGCUAUAGAUAAAAAAAGUAGUAUACAUGAUAAGUUUUNNNNNNNNNNNNNNNNNNAGUGUUAAAUUCUAAAACCUUUUCCAAUACAAAUAUCAGUUUCUAUAGUUGCAUUAGCCGCCAUACCAUAGCAUUAUUCAUGCAUAAAGAUUAUUUUUUUUCUGACGGUAAACUAAUAUAUAGAAAAAGUCAAUAAAUAAGACAAAUUUAUAAAAAUGAACUUGGUAUGUGUAACUUACGUUAUACAUAUUAAAUAAAGUCAAAAAAUUAAAUUUCACAUAUUUUAAAAAAAUAUUAUAUUAUAUAAUAAUACUUUUAACAAAAUAGUUAGUUAAGUUGGUAUUAGUGCAGUCUGAGAGUGAUUUUUAACAAAAUCAAUUCAUUUUAUGUUUAUUAGUGCAGUCUGAAGAGUGCUUUUUGUGAAAGUAAGUAGCUAUUAUUCACUUCCAUCCAAAACUGAUUUUGAAGCUUAAAAUCCAAUGGUGUGUUCAACUAGAAAUCAAAUAUGCUGAGAAAAUAUUAAAUCAAAUGGACAAACUGAAAUCCAAGUAUAAAGGAAAAUUCAUACUAGAGAACUUCAAUAUUGUCUUUGCCAUGCUGCAACUUAACAUGCUUGCGUGCACCUAGCAAUCAGUAAGCAUGGAACAAAGAUGAAAAUGUCAAGAAUCCAAAAUAUUCAACCACCAAUUCAAGUUCAUAUCAGUUUCAUGAAAUAAGUUAAUCAGCACUUAAGCAGAGUUCAACUUUUGAUAUUCAAAGAUAUUCUUCAAAAAGAAAUGCAAUUUCAAACUCUACAACAUUGUUUCACUUUUAAUUCUUUAUUCUAACCCCAAUCAUCACUGCAGAGAAGAUUUAGAAAACCCAAAGAAACAGGUGUAGAAACAAUUGUACUUGGAAUUAGAAUCCCCAAAUCUUUUGUGACAGGUGUAGCUAAUAACAGACAACAAAUCUCCAAACCAUGUUUUAAUAAUAAAAGCUUUUCAACAUGAUUUUAAACAAGAACAAUAUAAUAAUCCCUAUAUAGGAUUUUUUAACGAGAAAUAAUGAAAUAAUUCAACCAAGCAUUAACUGCCGAGUAACAUUAAUUAUGAAAAUAAACAUAAUGUACAUAUUUUCAAUUGAUUCUAAGAAUUACAGCUGAGUAAUAUUAAUUAUGAAAAGCACAAAGGUUUUAAGAUAAUUCAUAUUUGAACCAUAGUAGACAAAUUCCUAGAAAUUCCUUCUUGCACAGCCCCUCUUUUUUUUCCUUGAAAAAUUAAGUGUAAUCACAUACUUUGUAUACAGGUUUCUUCAGCUGUGAUCAGAUUUUGAAAAAUAACAAAAUGUUGAAAUUGUCAACCAAAAAAAGUGGGGUCAUGCAUUUAGUAGAUGUAUUUGUUUUAAAGACGGCAGUGAAAAUCAUAU
rnacentral:lncRNA from 1 species